rnacentral:rRNA from 1 species
AUUGAACGCUGGCGGCAUGCCUUACACAUGCAAGUCGAACGGCAGCGGGCCUUCGGGUGCCGGCGAGUGGCGAACGGGUGAGUAAUGCAUCGGAACGUGCCAUUGAGUGGGGGAUAACGUAGCGAAAGUUACGCUAAUACCGCAUAUUCUGUGAGCAGGAAAGCAGGGGACCGCAAGGCCUUGCGCUCUUUGAGCGGCCGAUGUCAGAUUAGCUAGUUGGUGAGGUAAAGGCUUACCAAGGCGACGAUCUGUAGCGGGUCUGAGAGGAUGAUCCGCCACACUGGAACUGAGACACGGUCCAGACUCCUACGGGAGGCAGCAGUGGGGAAUUUUGGACAAUGGGCGCAAGCCUGAUCCAGCCAUGCCGCGUGAGUGAAGGAAAGG